rnacentral:tRNA from 3 species
GGAGGGAUGGCCGAGCGGUUUAAGGCGCACGCCUGGAAAGCGUGUUGGGUGCAAGCCCUCGGGGGUUCGAAUCCCCCUCCCUCCGCCA